UACAGAGGUCUCAAGCGUUUGUUCGGAUUCAUUGGGCGUAAAGCGCGUGUAGGCGGCCCGAUAAGUCCGCUGUGAAAGUCCAGGCUCAACCCUGGGAUGCCGGUGGAUACUGUCGGGCUCGAGUCCGGAAGAGGCGAGUGGAAUUCCUGGUGUAGCGGUGAAAUGCGCAGAUAUCAGGAGGAACACCAAUGGCGAAGGCGGCUCUCUGGGACGGUACUGACGCUGAGACGCGAAAGCGUGGGGAGCGAACAGG
rnacentral:rRNA from 1 species